rnacentral:tRNA from 1 species
AAAUCCGUCGACUUUAGAAAUCGUGAGGGUUCAAGUCCCUCUAUCCCCAAAAAGGCCCGUUUGACUCCCUAAUUAUUUAUCCGAUCUUCUCUUUUCGUUUUGUUAGCGUUUUCAAAUUGGAAUUCGUUAUGUUUUUCAAUCAUUCUACUCUUUUACAAAUGGAUCUGAUUGUAAAUCUUUUUUUCUUAUUAAUUGACAUAAACUCAAGUUAUCUAUUAAAAUAAGGAU